UCGGGGGUGGCGGAAGAACCGGGCUUCCCGCUGCCCGGAGCCGGCGGGAUCCGGCGUCAGGUCUGAGGUCCCGGGUUGCAGCUGUCUCUGUGGCUGUGAGAAGCCGCCCGGCUAGUCCGGGACCGGGUCGGCACUCCCAGCAGGAAACAGAAGCACCGUCCCGAAGCAGAGGCGCCCGCAGCUGUGAGCAGGGCGCGAACAGGUGCUGCUCUGUACUCCAAACUGCAUCACAUUAGGAGGCGCCUAACAUCUGGUUGUCUCACUUUAGUGAGGCUGAAAUUGAUCACUGGUGAGGCUGUGACAGCCAGACUUCUGUGUUGUAAAGGUGAUGACAUGCAUUAAUUCCUAGGGAGCCAUGCUCUCUCUCACCUGAAGUCUUUGAAUGCUGUUCCCUGUCUGAAGAUACAGCCUCCCACCAGCCCCGCUCCACGCCUCCUAACCCCUGGUACGCAAACUGCACUGCACCCAGCUAGCUUUCUUCCCUGCUCCCAGGCCCUCAUAUGAUGUCAUCCUUGGGUUGCCUCCCUGACACUAUGCACAAGAUCAUCAUGGGAGUCCAGUCCAGCCUCUGGCCAGGAUGUGAUUAUCUGGCUUCUAAGGCCCAGGCCCCUCACCUUUCUCUCUUGCCUGCCACACUCGUGCAGCCCCACAUCGGAGGUGAGUGUCUCCUUGAGGGGGUCUGAGGGGCUGGGGGCGCAGGCCCAUGGUCCAGGGUCAGUUCCUCGGGCUGGACCAGGGGGCCAGUACCAGACAAGUCCCUGUGCAUCUUCACCCUCAGCCAGGCCUUCCCACAUGGCACAAUAGAGCCACGGCUGCGGGCAAGGGGGGACCCAAGGACUGACCUCCGUGAGACUGGCAACCUCCUAGCAGCCCUGCAGCAGCUCUGGCCCCCCAGACCCCACCUCAAGCCCUGUGUCCAUCCAGUCUGCCUCCCCAGGCUUCAGAAAACAUUGGGCUUUGGGGACUUCCCUGGUGGCAAAGUGGUUAAGAAUCCGCCUGCCAGUGCAGGGAACACAGUUUCAAGCCCUGGUCCGGGAAGAUCCCACAUGCCACGGAGCAACUAAGCCCAUGCGCCACAACUACUGAGCCUGCGCUCUAGAGCCCAAAAACCACAACUACUGAAGCCCACGCGCCUGGAGCCCGUGCUCUACAAUAAGAGAAACCACCCAGUGAGAAGCCCAUGCAUCACAACGAAGAGUAGCCCCCUCUCACCGCAACUAGAGAAAACCUGCGCGCAGCAACGAAGACCCAACGCAGCCAAAUAUAAAUAAAUAAAAUUUAAAAA